rnacentral:rRNA from 1 species
GACGAACGCUGGCGGCGUGCUUAACACAUGCAAGUCGAACGGAAAGGCCUGCAGCUUGCUGCGGGUACUCGAGUGGCGAACGGGUGAGUAACACGUGGGUGAUCUGCCUUGCACUUCGGGAUAAGCUUGGGAAACUGGGUCUAAUACCGGAUAGGACAGCUGUUUAGUGUCAGUUGUGGAAAGUUUUUUCGGUGCAAGAUGAGCUCGCGGCCUAUCAGCUUGUUGGUGGGGUAAUGGCCUACCAAGGCGUCGACGGGUAGCCGGCCUGAGAGGGUGUACGGCCACAUUGGGACUGAGAUACGGCCCAGACUCCUACGGGAGGCAGCAGUGGGGAAUAUUGCACAAUGGGCGGAAGCCUGAUGCAGCGACGCCGCGUGGGGGAUGAAGGCCUUCGGGUUGUAAACUCCUUUCGACAGGGACGAAGCUUUUGUGAAGGUACCUGUAGAAGAAGCACAGGCUAACUACGU